rnacentral:rRNA from 1 species
UACGUAGGGGGCUAGCGUUGUCCGGAAUUAUUGGGCGUAAAGAGCGUGUAGGCGGCCAGGUAGGUCGGUUGUGAAAACUGGAGGCUCAACCUUCAGACGUCGACCGAAACCAUCUGGCUAGAGUCCGGGAGAGGAGAGUGGAAUUCCUGGUGUAGCGGUGAAAUGCGUAGAUAUCGAGAGGAACACCAGCGGCGAAGGCGGCAUCCUGGACUGGUCCUGACACUCAGGAGCGAAAGCGUGGGGAGCGAUCCGG